AACGAACGCUGGCGGCAGGCCUAACACAUGCAAGUCGAACGCCGUAGCAAUACGGAGUGGCAGACGGGUGAGUAACGCGUGGGAACAUACCCUCCGGUUCGGAAUAACUCAGGGAAACUUGAGCUAAUACCGGAUACGUCCAAGGUUUUAAUCGGCCUUGGAGAAAGAUUUAUCGCUGGAGGAUUGGCCCGCGUCUGAUUAGCUUGUUGGUGAGGUAAUGGCUCACCAAAGGCGACGANCAGUAGCUGGUCUGAGAGGAUGAUCAGCCACAUUGGGACUGAGACACGGCCCAAACUCCUACGGGAGGCAGCAGUGGGGAAUAUUGGACAAUAGGGCGGAAAGACCUGAUCCAGCCAUGCCGCGUGAGUGAUGAAGGCCUUAGGGUUGUGAAGCUC
rnacentral:rRNA from 1 species